rnacentral:misc_RNA from 1 species
UUUUGUUUCUGUUCUUUGUUAGUAUUCACAAUCACAAAAUUUGCCUUUGUUGAUGGGAAAUUUCGAGAAGAAAAUUUUCCCCCUCCUAUUGAUACUUCACCUCCACUUUUGAGGAAAAUAUUCAUUUGCUUUGGCUGGGUGUUUAAUAUUUACAUCCAUGAUAGGCUCUAGGUUUUGGGAAAUUUUUUAGCCAAAACAUUAUGUAAUGAAUGAGAAAAGGAACCUUGGAAGAAAUGUGCUACAAAUCUGAGGUUUGAUAUUCCAAAGUAUUCGAACUUAUGGUCUUGUACAGUCUUUCAGCUUUUUGACGUGGUUGAGGGAGUACAAGGGACAUUUAUGAGUAAGGUCAAAAUCUCAUAUGGUGAAAUUAUUUUUGAGUGUCUAACAUUUGCACAUGCAAGGAAUAGUCUUCCACUGUUUAAAUAAGAAGGGAAAUUGGCAUUGUCUUGUGUAGGCCAUUUUAGUUCUCAUUAAUGUCACAAGGUAAUGUUAUAACUUUAAGCACCUGGAUGGUAUGAAUUUACUGAUAGAUUCUAGUUCUCUCUUUCGCAUUUUUAAAUGCCACAUCAAAAUUCCAUUAUUGACUUCAAAGGGAGAAGCGUCAGAGACUUUUAGGGGUACAAUGGUAGAAGGGCAUAGUUAUUAAGGGUUCAAGAUAUAAA